rnacentral:tRNA from 2 species
GGGUUGGUAACUCAGCGGAUCAGAGUCUAUGGUUCCGAACCAUGAAGCCGAGGGUUCGAAUCCCUCCUAGCCCA